rnacentral:rRNA from 1 species
GAGACUCUGUGCGCGUGCAUAUCAAUAAGCGGAGGAAAAGAAACUAACAAGGAUUCCCUUAGUAACGGCGAGUGAAGCGGGAAGAGCUCAAAUUUGAAAUCUUCAAGGUUCUACCUUGACGAAUUGUAGUUUAAAGAAGUGUUUUCUGUUAGAUGAGUAGCAAAAGUUCCUUGGAAUGGGACAUCAUAGAGGGUGAGAAUCCCGUAUUUGGUUAUUCAUUCUAGCUUUGUGAUACACUUUCAAAGAGUCGGAUUGUUUGGGAAUGCAGUCCAAAAUGGGUGGUAAAUUUCAUCUAAAGCUAAAUAUUGGCGAGAGACCGAUAGCGAACAAGUACCGUGAGGGAAAGAUGAAAAGAACUUUGAAAAGAGAGUUAAACAGUACGUGAAAUUGUCAAAAGGGAAGCGUUUGACACCAGUGUUGUUUUUCCGAAAAUCAAUUACGAAUGGCUUGAUUUUGUGUUGUAUUGACCUUAUCAGCUUUCUUCACUUUUUUCGAGUCUUUCUUAAUGCACUUUUCGGUUAACGAGUCAACAUCAAUUUCUUUUGUUGUAAAAGAGUAUUCGGAAGGUGGCUUUCUUUUCGGAGAAAGUGUUUAUAGCCCUAUACUUCUACAAUCGGAGAGAUUGAGGUCUGCAGCGUAAAUCCUUCGGGGUUAGAUACAUUUGUGCUAAGCUAUAGCCUUGUAUAGACAACUUGUUGACUAUGCUCAGUCAUGUAGCUUACUCGCUGAUGCUAUUUUACCUACGCUUAGGAUGUUGACUGAUAUGUAGUCGUA